GUCGAGCGAGUACGACUGAAGUUUACUUCAGUACGGCUAGCGGCAAACGGGUGAGUAACACAUGGGAAUCUACCUUAUAGUACGGAAUAGCCAUCGGAAACGAUGAUUAAUACCGUAUAUUACCUAAGGGUGAAAGAUUUAUCGCUAUAAGAUGAGCCCAUGCAGGAUUAGUUAGUUGGUGGGGUAACUGCCUACCAAGGCUUCGAUCCUUAGCUGGUCUGAGAGGAUGAUCAGCCACACUGGAACUGAGACACGGUCCAGACUCCUACGGGAGGCAGCAGUGAGGAAUUUUGGACAAUGGGCGCAAGCCUGAUCCAGCGACGCCACGUGAGUGAUGAAGGCCUUAGGGUUGUAAAACUCUUUCAGUUGGGAAGAUAAUGACGGUACCAACAAAAGAAGCUCCGGCUAACUUCGUGCCAGCAGCCGCGGUAAUACGAAGGGGGCGAGCGUUACUCGGAUUUACUGGGCGUAAAGCGUGCGUAGGCUGUAUAGUAAGUUGAAAGUGAAAUUCCAGAGCUCAACUCUGGCACUGCUUUCAAAACUGCUUAACUAGAGUACCAGAGAGGAUGGCGGAAUUCCUAGUGUAGGGGUAAAAUCCAUAGAUACUAGGAGGAACACCGGAAGCGUAGGCGGCUAUCUGGCUGGUUACUGACGCUGUUGCACGAAGGCGUGGGGAGCAAACAGGAUUAGAUACCCUGGUAGUCCACGCAGUAAACGAUGAGUGCUAGGUAUUGGAUAUUAUUUUCAGUGCCGUAGCUAACGCGUUAAGCACUCCGCCUGAGUAGUACGGUCGCAAGACUAAAACUCAAAGGAAUUGACGGGGACCCGCACAAGCGGUGGAACAUGUGGUUUAAUUCGAUAAUACGCGAAGAACCUUACCAGAUCUUGACAUGAUAGUCGUACGAUUAUGAAGAUAAUUGGUCAGCUCGGCUGGACUAUCACAGGUGUUGCAUGGUUGUCGUCAGCUCGUGUCGUGAGAUGUUGGGUUAAGUCCCGCAACGAGCGCAACCCUCAUUUCUAGUUACCAGCGAGUAAUGUCGGGCACUCUAGAAAAACUGCCGGUGAUAAGCCGGAGGAAGGUGGGGAUGAGGUCAAAUCAGCAUGGCCCUUAUGGUCUGGGCUACACACGUGUUACAAUGGUUAUGACAAUGAGACGCAAUGGGGUGACCCGGAGCUAAUCUAUAAACAUAGCCUCAGUUCGGAUUGUAUCCUGCAACUCGGAUACAUGAAGUAGGAAUCGCUAGUAAUCGCAGAUCAGCAUGCUGCGGUGAAUACGUUCUCGGGUCUUGUACACACUGCCCGUCACGCCAUGGGAGUCGGUUAUACCUUAAGUACGUGAG
rnacentral:rRNA from 1 species